CAACUGCUCCUCUCACAAUAGCCUCUCACAUCUGCUCGGUAAGAACUGAGGUCCCCCCAAGUUUUCUUUAAACCCUAGAACAAUUCGUCCUCAUCAGCUAACGACGAGUUGACUCCAACGUUUCUCAAGCUUCAAUUCCAUAGGAACUACACAUUCUGCCAUUCGGUUGAAAGGAGGGAAUCAAACGUUGCCUUCCAGGUGAUAGCUUGAGGGAAAUAACAAAAGGUCUUCUGAGGACCCUACUUCUCUUCUUAGCUAUCUAAGUUCAAAGAUAUGAGAUCUCCAAGAACCCCUACCCCCAAAAGCACUACUAUAAUCUGGAAUGAAACUGAGCUAAGAUCAUUCAUCAAUCACAUGUUUGAGAAUGUAAGGAAAUGUUUGAAGACAAACUCCACAUUCACAAAGGUUGAAGGGAGAACAUUACGAAAGGGCUUGAAGCCAAAUUCAAAUGGCCCUUUGCAAAUGAGCAACUUCGUAACAAGAUGAACAAGUUACGGAAGGAAUACAACAGCUUCAAGUCUUUGUUAGAAACAACCGGUUUUGGAUGGGAUGUGAA